GAGGGCUUGGCCGAGUGGUUAAGGCGUCAGAUUUAGGUUUCAAUUUCUCAGGAAAUUAGAAAAUACUCUGAUAUCUACGGAUGCGCGAGUUCGAAUCUCGUGGUCCUCA
rfam:Wickerhamomyces anomalus NRRL Y-366-8 unplaced genomic scaffold WICANscaffold_8, whole genome shotgun sequence.